UUGAAUUCUGAGGUUGCUCUCUAAGUUGGGGUGCUUUGACACUUCAUACCUGAGAGUACUCGGAAUUCAAUCUUGCGGGGACCCGUUGUAAGUAUUCUUUCGUUCUUUUAUUGCUUUUCGAGUCCGAAAGUCAAACUUUGUUUGACUUUCUGCAUUGACCAGUUUAUGGUCAAUGCGAAGUUCGUUUGAACUUCAUAACGUGAGCGUAAUCACGUUGGUUAUAGUCCCUAGCGACUAUACCCACUGAUUACCACGUUAUCUAGGCUUAGUGACGAGUCGUAGUUUUGGUCAAAAUGCGUUUUCUUGCGCAUUUUGUAACCAAACUACUUUAGGGUAUUAAAACCGUUUGUUUUAAUACCAAACCUGUUUUCUAACCUUACUAAACAUGUUCUAGCAUGUUUAGCUCGUCGCUUUUAGUUUUGUGCUUGUCUAGGGUCGUAAAGGUAAGCGAUCUAAACAAUCGCUUAUGCUUACGAACCCGACCCAUUUGGUCGAUCAUUAGGAUCCAACCAAACACAUUAGGUGACCAUAGUGUAUAGGGAAUAACCUUUCAAGGAUUAUACCUUAUGGUCACGCCGUUUAAAUAGUUGUAUGAUAGGUAAUGUAUGUGCCUUAGGUAAAUUACCAAAAUACCCUUUUUACACUAAAAUCCAUUUUAAGCUUAUGUAACAUAAUUUUUGGUAUCUAAACUGAUUUGGCAACAAUAUUAAACAUGUUAAGGCAUAUCUUGCUUGUCAUAGGACUAGUUAAGCAUUCCUAACGCGUUUUACGCAGACGACACGUUAAAGUAGCAUAAGCUACCUAAGCGGGUCGUAACGGGUCAAAAGCACUUAGGUUAGGUUUCGUUUUAGUAUGAAGGCUUUGUCAAACCAUAUUACAUAAGUUCCCACACUUAUUUGGUUUACGAACCCUCGUACUACCCGAUCCUCCGAUAGGUCCGGUUAUUAAUAUAGAUGCCUUUAUAGGUGCCGUUUGAUUCCGUGAUCUUCUAGCAUUGCUUGGUGGUUAUCCUACGACUUCUAAGCAAUCUCAAGUGAGUACAUAGUCCCCUCUUUUACUGUUUUUCAAACUGUUUUGGGGUGAAGCAUGUGUACCUAUUUGUUAUUUUCGUGUUUUCAAAAGUAUAAUUGAUUAUACAUGUUAGUAUCUAUCUUUUGACAAACUAAAUGAUUAUUUUUGACAUAAACACUGAUUUUCAAAGAUAAUAAAAUAAAUUGUUGGAAUAGUACUCAUUUUGUUCACCAGACCGGUUGGUAGUAUGAUAUAGCGCUAUAGGAUUUGACACCCCAUUCCUGUUGUCAUGGAAUGUCUGAAACCAAUUUGUUUCUCCAUCCAAAUAGGGAUUGCCUCCGUGGUAUUCCUAUAGUCUCAAAGGUGUAGUUUGAUGCACUAGGUCUGAUUGAAUCCAUAAAUCACACUUUUAUUGUAUAUUUUGAUAUACUCUCAUGUGUGGUAUUGUACAAAACCAACAUAUAUUUUUGUUAAUAACCAAAACAUAGUUUAAUAUGUUAUUUUUACAACCCAAAGCAUAUCUUGAUAUGUUAUUCUCACAAAUCCAAAGCAUAGUUUUAAUAUGUUAUUUUCGAACCAAAACAUAGUUUAAUAUGUUAUUUAUAAAUCCAAAGUAUACUUUGAUAUACCACUAAAAACUUAUUUCUUUUACCAACUAAAGUAUGGUUAAUGUACUAUUUACUAAAUGACUAGGUGUUGGUUAGUGUUUAAAUAAUGGGACGGGUGUAAUGUGAUGCAAACAGGGUAGAUACGCCGAUGGUACAUCUUAUAUACAAGUGUUUUCAUCGCAUUACAUGACGUGUCGUUACUUAGUACACUUGAGUUAACGGUUUUAGAACUGAAAUACGUUCUAAUAUAUUAUUUAUUCGACCUUCUUAAAUCAAAGUAUAUUUUUAUAUACUAUAAACUUUUUUUUAUCAAAAUAUUGUUUUUCAAACAAUAUAUUUUUAUACAAACUUAUUCUACUUAUUUAUUUAUUUUUCUAUGUAUUAUUACUUUAUAUCAUCUGAUUUCUUAUAAAUGAUUUUUAAAAGAAAGCCUUUUACAAGGAUCAUGACUACUUUUAUUAAAACCUUUUUCUUUAAACUUAUAAGUCAUGAAUCCUAAAUUUAUAAAACCUAUGUACUCGCCGGCAUUUUUAUGCUGACGUACCUAUUUUUACACAUGUUUCAGGUACUGCUCUGUGAUGAUUGAUGAUAUAUGCUACACAUAGGAUGGACUCGUGCCUUAGCGACUUUAAAACUUGGAAGAUAAUAACAAAAUUCUUUAUUCCAUGGUUGUGA
rnacentral:lncRNA from 1 species